AACUAGGAUUAGAUACCCUAUUAUGCUUAGCCUUAAAAUAUUAAUUACACCAAAACCGCCAAAAAAAACUACGAGCGCAAGCUUAAAACUUAAAGGACUUGACGGUGUCCCAUCUACCUAGAGGAGCCUGUUCUAUAAUCGAUGAUCCUCGUUAUACCUAACCUCUUUUAGCUCAUCAGUCUGUAUACUUCCGUCGUAAGCUUGCCAUAUGAAUGCAUUAGCAAGCUAAAUAGUUAUAUUACCAAAACGUCAGGUCAAAGUGCAACCCAAAAGGAGGGAAGAAAUGGGCUACAAUUUCUAAUUUAAGAACAAACGAAUUAGCAUCUUAAUAACCGCUAUGAAGGUGGAUUUAGAAGUAAAGUGAAAAUAGCGUGUUCACUUCAACAGUGCUCUGGGACGUGUACACAUCGCCC
rnacentral:rRNA from 1 species